UACGUAGGGUGCAAGCGUUAAUCGGAAUUACUGGGCGUAAAGCGUGCGCAGGCGGUUAUGUAAGUCUGGUGUGAAAUCCCCGGGCUUAACCUGGGAACUGCAUUUGUGACUGCAUAGCUAGAGUACGGUAGAGGGGGAUGGAAUUCCGCGUGUAGCAGUGAAAUGCGUAGAUAUGCGGAGGAACACCGAUGGCGAAGGCAAUCCCCUGGACCUGUACUGACGCUCAUGCACGAAAGCGUGGGGAGCAAACAGG
rnacentral:rRNA from 1 species